GGAAGGUGGCUCAGUGGUAGAGCACUUGCCUUGCAUGCAUGAGGCCCUGGGUUCGAUUCCUAAGAUCCA
rfam:Dipodomys ordii contig_72724, whole genome shotgun sequence.